CAAACAAUUUCACACCUGGAUGUGCUCACUCAACCAAGAAUAUAGAGAAAGAGCUUCUGCCCUGAGACUCAGAAAAAUAUUCUACACUGCUUCUGUUCAGUAUAGAUUUCUAGACCCUGAUCAUUGCUUAACAGAGUUUCACUGGGGAUGUGGCCUUCGGGGAACCCCUUAUACACCAGCAGAGUACCUCCACCAGAUAAGGAAGCAACCAAGGAAGAGUAUGGAGGAGCUCUUUUGAGAGGUGCUCCAGUCCUCAGAGGCCAAAAAGGAAGAAUGCAGGCUACGGAGCAAGACUUUAAAAGAAAAUUGUAAAAUAGAAAGACAAUACAGAGAGGAGAGUGAGGAGUGAAUUUUUAAUGGGCCAGGAGCGGAUGAUAAAGUGAUGGUGGAGCAAACAAGUUCCUAAUCACACUGCAGGCUAAAUUAAUGCUCAGCUCUCCCCCAGCAUCUGAUAGAGAGCUGCUUUCCAUGUCCUCCUCAAACUUCUCCCACUCAUUCCUUAUAACUUCCUAGCCUGUCUCAGUGCUCCAGUCACUCUAUCCCUUCAGACAGCUUCCAAAAUGAUUGCUGGAGUUACACACAGUGAUGACAGCCUUCCCUGUCCUUCACUCUAUUUUCUAUUUCCCUUCCCACCAAGCCUUUUGCGUGUGUUGCUAAUUGGUAUUUAAUAAAAAGAUACUCUGAAAGAUAA